rnacentral:rRNA from 1 species
UAAACGAUGUCUACUAGCCGUUGGAGGACUUGAUCCUUUAGUGGCGCAGCUAACGCGAUAAGUAGACCGCCUGGGGAGUACGGUCGCAAGAUUAAAACUCAAAUGAAUUGACGGGGGCCCGCACAAGCGGUGGAGCAUGUGGUUUAAUUCGAAGCAACGCGAAGAACCUUACCUACUCUUGACAUCCAGUGAACUUUUGAGAGAUCAAUUGGUGCCUUCGGGAACACUAAGACAGGUGCUGCAUGGCUGUCGUCAGCUCGUGUUGUGAAAUGUUGGGUUAAGUCCCGUAACGAGCGCAACCCUUGUCCUUAGUUACCAUCAUUAAGUUGGGGACUCUAAGGAGACUGCCGGUGACAAACCGGAGGAAGGCGGGGACGACGUCAAGUCAUCAUGGCCCUUACGAGUAGGGCUACACACGUGCUACAAUGGCAUGUACAAAGGGUUGCCAAGCCGCGAGGUGGAGCUAAUCCCAUAAAGCAUGUCGUAGUCCGGAUUGGAGUCUGCAACUCGACUCCAUGAAGUCGGAAUCGCUAGUAAUCGUGAAUCAGAAUGUCACGGUGAAUACGUUCCCGGGCCUUGUACACACCGCCCGUCACACCAUGGGAGUGGGUUGCUCCAGAAGUAGAUAGCUU